rnacentral:rRNA from 1 species
CCCUUAGAUGUCCGGGGCUGCACGCGCGCUACACUGAAGGAAUCAGCGUGCUAAAACCAUUGUCGAAAGGCAUUGGUAAACCCAUUAAAAUCCUACGUGAUUGGGAUCGGGAAUUGCAAUUAUUUCCCUUGAACGAGGAAUUCCCAGUAAGUGUGGGUCAUAAGCUCGCGUUGAUUACGUCCCUGCCCUUUGUACACACCGCCCGUCGCUGCCCGGGACUGAGCCGUUUCGAGAAAAGCGGGGACUGCUGCUGUCGGGGCUUUCGGGCCUUGGCUUCGGUUGAAACCGCUUUAAUCGCAGUGGCUUGAACCGGGCAAAAGUCGUAACA